rnacentral:piRNA from 1 species
UUUGACCGUGGGCUCAGCUUGCGAUUGC